rnacentral:rRNA from 1 species
AGCAGCCGCGGUAAUUCCAGCUCCAAUAGCGUAUAUUAAAGUUGUUGCAGUUAAAAAGCUCGUAGUUGAAUUUCGGGAUUGACGUGAUGGUCAUGCCUUAAGGGGUAUGAACUGUUACAGUUGAUUUCUCACCUUCUGGAGAAACUUGAUGUCCUUUAUUGGGUGUCUUGCGGAUCCAGGACCUUUACCUUGAAAAAAUUAGAGUGUCUAAAGCAGGCAUUUUUGCUCGAAUACAUUAGCAUGGAAUAAUAGAAUAGGACGGCAUGGUUCUAUUUUGUUGGUUUCUAGGAUCACCGUAAUGAUUAAUAGGGAUAGUUGGGGGCAUUAGUAUUCAAUUGUCAGAGGUGAAAUUCUUGGAUUUAUUGAAGACUAACUACUGCGAAAGCAUUUGCCAAGGAUGUUUUCAUUAAUCAAGAACGAAAGUUAGGGGAUCGAAGACGAUCAGAUACCGUCGUAGUCUUAACCAUAAACUAUGCCGACUAGGGAUCAGACGAUGUUAAUUUCUUAAUGACUCG